CAAACUUUUGAAAUCAUGGAGAACAGGCUGUUGGGGGCUAGGAUUCUUUCCUUUUAUUACUUUAUACUCAGGAAUUUUUUUUUCCCAUAAGUUGCUAGGAAACACUAAUGACUGGGGUACUUAAAAAAACCUAAAGAAGUGGCCAAGCUCAAGGGAGGAGGGCAUAUGGUUGCACUUCUCUUAUCUGGGAGUUUCUCUCAGAGAAUUGUGCAGGUAAAGGAUGGGCUGGGCAGCUGCUGGCCCUCUCUUGGCUUUGGAAGAGGAUGGUCAGAGCUCCUGCUUGGGGAAGGGAAUUCGCUGCUGCACUGGAGCCCAGCCCGGAGCUGCUUCUUUGCCGAGGAAUCCAGUUCUCACAGCCAUAGGCAUCUUUGCCAUUUGAGUCAUGAAGGAAGACAGACAUUUCUUCACAACUCUGUUCUAAAAGUGGCCACUGGAGAUGUUGGAACACCAUUGCAAUUUUUUCUGGUUCUUGAGCUCAACAUUUAAAAAACUUAUACUGUGCAUUAGUGUAAUGAAAUAUUGUUUAUGCUAUCAACUAUUGGAUUGGAGGGCUAAAAUUUGUUCAGCUUCUCAGACAUAUAUUAGCUUUAAUAAUAUAUGUAUGAGAAGCUGACAUAUAUUAUUAAAUGGAAGUGUGAUACCUGAAUAUCUAAACAACUCUGAAAUUCUGAGUUGAAAAAAAGAGAGAUGAAGAUAAGAUAUAUGCUCCAUUUAUAAGUGGUUUUUUGGUUUUGGUUUGCUUGAUUUGGAGGGGUUUUUUUGUUGUUGUGAUGGUGGUUGUUGUUGGUUUUGGGUUUUUUGGGUUGUUUUUUUCGGUUUGUUUUGGGUUUUUUGGGUUCUGGCUUUUUUUGGUUUUUUGGGGGGUUUUUUUUGUUUGUUUUGUUAUUUUGGUUUUCUUUCUUGGUUGGUUUUGGUUUUGAUUUUGUUUGUUUUGUUUGUUUUUUUUUCUUAAGUUCCCUAGUAUUUCAGUGUGAAUGACCAUCCAGUUACAAUAUGGAUGGCAAAAAUUUUUCAUCAGGCUUAGGUGAUAAUCAAGACAGUCCAUGUAUGUAGAUUCAAUUUAUAGAGCUUGGGUAAAGUGAAUUAGUUCAAGCUGUAGCAUUUAAGUUACCAAACAAGAUUAACUUAAUUACUGACAAGCAUAGAAUGAAGUCAUACAUAGUUCAGAAAAUUUCAAAAACAUAAACAUAAAACUGUCUGGCUGGUUGCAUUAUUGAGGGUAUAUUUUAUUUCUAGUAUUCUUUAGGCUAUAUGUAUCACAUAUCAAAGGGAAGAACAGAGAAAAAGUCAGCAUAGACACAUUCAAUGAAUUAAGUGCACUUCUAAGAAUGGCUGAGGAAUGGUACUGCGAAUAUGUGAAGUCCACAACUGUUUUUCCUAGCCUUUCAAUGUCAAUUCUUGUGGACAAGAGAAAGAAAAGGCUUUCAUUUAAAGAGCUCCACCAUAACAUCUGCUGAAUAUAUCACAGAUUAUAUCAAAUGCUUUCAUUUUAAGAAGGUAAAUGCAAUUUAAAGUACAUAGUGUAAUGUAAGAGAUUCUCAGCAUAGUGUAGACACAUGUUCUCUUGUAAUAACUAGAGUUCAGUAAAUAUUCAUGGGAGUUUUCUGCAAUAUAUUAUGCUAUUGCACUAUACUACUAAUACAUAUUUCAAUUUAAGGAACGUACUAAAAUUCACAAUUAAAUUUACAUCAAUGUCUUAUGUCAUACAAACAAAUGGAAGGCUUUGCACAAAAAAACCAGAUAUAUUCAGGCAGAAAUCCAAACAAGGAAAGCAUUUGACAAAAUGUACAGCUCAUGAUAUCACUGAAAUAGCUAAUCAUUUUUAUUUACAUACAUUAUAAACUUCUCUAUAUCCAAAGAGCAGGUCCAGCAAGUUACAUUCCUUAUUUAGCUAGCUCAUCAACUUCAUGUCAGGAAGUUAUGUCUGCACUAUUCAGGAACCUCCAAGACUUACUCUUCUCUACUAUAUUCUAUUUCCAGCUGACCUCUGUUAAGAUGAAAGGAAAAGAAAAUCACAAGACUUCUGCUAACUGCUUAUAGGCUAUUCUGCCUCUACAUCCUGGCAUGCAUUUUUGUAGAUGCACAUCAGAUGGGUUAUCAAUCCUGCUACCUUUUCAUGGGAGAAGCUGUAGCUCCUGCAUGACCAUUCUCAGGAGUUUCCAUGGAUUCCACAUCCAGAAAUAUUGUAACUUUGCAUCUUUGCUGCUACAUGGGUCAUCAUACCCUAUCUCUAUUAUUAUUUCAGCAGACUGAAAGGUUUCACUAAUACAUUGUCCCUCAAAGAGUUUUGUGCCACCCUAGGCUUAUUUCCAGUGAUUGUGAUUUUAUCCCUUUCCCCUUUUACAUUGAGUUUAAAGUUCUUUCAAUGAGACCUGCUAUCUCCUGCUCAAGGGUCCUUUUUCCCCUUUGAGACAUGCCAUCUAUUGCCAGCAGGCUCCAUGACAUGCAAACAGACUUGUGAUCAAAAACCUCAUAAUUCUUCUGGUGUCACCAGGCUUGGAAAGAGAUAUUCAUCUGUAUGAUUCUCCCAGUUCUACCCUCAUCACUCCCUGCAACUUGAAGGAUAAAGGAGAUCACUAUGUGUGCUUCAGAUUCCUCAAGCAGUCACCCAAAGCCCUGAGGUACUGCUCGAUUAACCUUCUUGUUUGGUCUUCACUGCUCACCACCUGAAAAAUCUAUGGUGAAAAAUAAUUAGAGCAGGCCUUAGAGUUUGUUGAUAAUGUCUCUAACCCAGACUCCAGGGAGGCAGCAGGCUUCCCCAUGGGUUUGGUUCAAUCAACAUUUUGUGCCCACUACUCCUCUCAGAAAGGAGUCACCAAAGAAAUCUCCCCUUGUUUUUUUCUUAACUGAGGCAGUCAUAACACAGAGGGUAACAUCUCCGUGCUGCACAAGCUUGUAUGUGGAUUAAUCUAAUAAAUAUUAGCAAGAUAGAAUUAUUAAGGUUAGAAUUUUUAAUAGUGGAUGUCUGUAGGCUAAAUGAUAUCUAAUUAAAUUGUUACAGGCUAUUGUAUUAAAUGAUAAUUGAAUUCCCAGAACAUUUCCCACACUUAAAAUGUAUUAACAUGAAUACGAUUGGGUAGUUAAUGGCUUGCUGAUAUUUUUCUUUUUUCCUUUCUUUAUUACUUUGCAUCUAGGGUUUUUUAUAUUCUCACUUAAUGUCUAUAAAUCUUCCAUUACGGACUUAGGCUGCAGAAUAGAGAUCCAUGGGAUCACAUGCCUUGACCUCAGCUGCUAGAUUUAAACAUUUUUUAGCUUUUUUGGAACACAGAGAAAGGAAAGCACAUACAUUUGUAAAAUGCAUGUAGAUUCUAUGCCUUCUUAAAUAUGUCAUAGAAGUAAGUAAAAGACAAAGUUCCACUAAUUCAGUUGCACAAUAAUUGCUACACUGCAAAAAAUGACAGGAAAGUUGUAUGGUCUAACAUCUUAACUAUAGAGAAAUUCUAUAUUGAAAACACAGAGCAGGCUUUUUUUUUGCUGAAAGGAAGCUGAAAUGCCAGCUUGCUUCCCAAAGCCAAAAUUUAUUUUCUAGGCAAAUUAAGGAUUUUCUAGUAUUUAAUGUUCAGAGGGUCUCAUGGUUAUUUCUGCCAUUAACCUAUGGAAGCAAUGAAUUCAGUUUGUUCAAACAGUGAACAAGGAAUAAAGUGUGAAUUUUUUUUCUACCACUA